UACAGAGGUCUCAAGCGUUGUUCGGAUUCAUUGGGCGUAAAGGGUGUGUAGGUGGCGCCGUAAGUCGGGUGUGAAAUUUCGGAGCUUAACUCCGAAACUGCAUUCGAUACUGCGGUGCUUUGAGGACUGGAGAGGAGACUGGAAUUCAUGGUGUAGCAGUGAAAAUGCGUAGAGAUCAUGAGGGAAGACCAGUGGCGAAAGGCGGGG
rnacentral:rRNA from 1 species